GAUGAACGCUGGCGGCGUGCCUAAUACAUGCAAGUCGAGCGAACGGACGCGACGCUUGCUUCUCUGAUGUUAGCGGCGGACGGGUGAGUAACACGUGGAUCACCUCCCUAUAUGACUGGGAUCACUUCGGGAAACCGGAGCUAAUACCGGAUAAUAUUUUGAACCGCAUGGUUCAAAAGUGAAAGACGGUCUUGCUGUCACUUAUAGAUGGAUCCGCGCUGCAUUAGCUAGUUGGUAAGGUAACGGCUUACCACGGCAACGAUGCAUAGCCGACCUGAGAGGGUGAUCGGCGACACUGGAACGGAGACACGGUCCAGACGCCUACGGGAGGCAGCAGUAGGGAAUCUUCCGCAAUGGGCGAAAGCCUGACGGAGCAACGCCGCGUGAGUGAUGAAAGUCUUCGGAGCGGAAAACUCGGUUAUGAGGGAAGAACAUAUGUGUAAGUAACUGUGCACAUCUUGACGGUACCUAAUCAGAAAGCCACGGCUAACUACGUG
rnacentral:rRNA from 1 species